rnacentral:rRNA from 1 species
GGGUGAGUAACGCGUGGAUAACCUGCCUUGUACAGGGGGAUAACACCUGGAAACAGGUGCUAAGACCGCAUAAGCGCACGGUCCCGCAUGGGACAGUGUGAAAAACUCCGGUGGUACAAGAUGGAUCCGCGUCUGAUUAGCCAGUUGGCGGGGUAACGGCCCACCAAAGCGACGAUCAGUAGCCGGCCUGAGAGGGUGAACGGCCACAUUGGGACUGAGACACGGCCCAAACUCCUACGGGAGGCAGCAGUGGGGAAUAUUGCACAAUGGGGGAAACCCUGAUGCAGCAACGCCGCGUGAGUGAAGAAGUAAUUCGUUAUGUAAAGCUCUAUCAGCAGGGAAGAAAAUGACGGUACCUGAGUAAGCAGCCCCGGCUAACUACGUGCCAGCAGCCGCGGUAAUACGUAGGGGGCAAGCGUUAUCCGGAUUUACUGGGUGUAAAGGGAGCGUAGACGGUAAAGCAAGUCUGAAGUGAAAUGCCAGUGCUCAACACUGGAACUGCUUUGGAAACUGUUUGGCUGGAGUGCAGGAGAGGUAAGUGGAAUUCCUAGUGUAGCGGUGAAAUGCGUAGAUAUUAGGAGGAACACCAGUGGCGAAGGCGGCUUACUGGACUGUAACUGACGUUGAGGCUCGAAAGCGUGGGGAGCAAACAGGAUUAGAUACCCUGGUAGUCCACGCGGUAAACGAU